GUCUACGGCCAUGUCACCCUGAAAAAGCUCAAUCCCAUCUGAUCUUGGAAGCUAAGUAGAGUUGGGCCUGGUUAAUACUUGGAUGGGAGACCACCUAGGAAGACCAGGUGCUGUAGGUG
rnacentral:rRNA from 1 species